rnacentral:rRNA from 1 species
UACGGAGGGUGCGAGCGUUGUCCGGAAUCACUGGGCGUAAAGGGCGCGUAGGCGGCCCGGCAAGUCUGUGGUGAAAGUUCGGGGCUCAACCCUGAAUCGGCCGUCGAUACUCCUGGGCUCGAGCACUGUAGAGGCAGAUGGAAUUCCGGGUGUAGCGGUGGAAUGCGUAGAGAUCCGGAAGAACACCGGUGGCGAAGGCGGUCUGCUGGGCAGUUGCUGACACUGAGGCGCGACAGCGUGGGGAGCAAACAGGG